UUGCGUAGGCACUUUGUCACCGAUGGCGUAUGGCAUUCUCGAUGCAAAGAGCUAUGCAACC
rnacentral:pre_miRNA from 1 species